rnacentral:rRNA from 1 species
UUGUCUCAAAGAUUAAGCCAUGCAUGUCUAAGUAUAAGCAACUUGUACUGUGAAACUGCGAAUGGCUCAUUAAAUCAGUUAUCGUUUAUUUGAUAGUACCUUACUACAUGGAUACCUGUGGUAAUUCUAGAGCUAAUACAUGCUAAAAACCCCGACUUCAGGAAGGGGUGUAUUUAUUAGAUAAAAAACCAACGCCCUUCGGGGCUCCUUGGUGAAUCAUAAUAACUUAACGAAUCGCAUGGCCUUGCGCCGGCGAUGGUUCAUUCAAAUUUCUACCCUAUCAACUUUCGAUGGUAGGAUAGUGGCCUACCAUGGUGGCAACGGGUAACGGGGGGUUAGGGCUCGACCCCGGAGAAGGAGCCUGAGAAACGGCUACUACAUCCAAGGAAGGCAGCAGGCGCGCAAAUUACCCAAUCCCGACACGGGGAGGUAGUGACAAUAAAUACUGAUACAGGGCUCUUUUGGGUCUUGUAAUCGGAAUGAGUACAAUUUAAAUCCCUUAACGAGGAACAAUUGGAGG